rnacentral:lncRNA from 1 species
CAGUUCUUAACGGCCGCGCGUCCAGAGUCUGUUCCUUCUGAUGUUCGGAUGUGUUCGGAGUUUCUUCCUUCUGGUGGGUUCGUGGUCUCGCUGGCUCGGGAGUGAAGCUGCAGACGUUUGCGGUAAUUCAGUUCCAACCCCUUCAGUGACAGCAGAGAGACCCAGGCCACCUUCCUUGAGGAUUUCGGAGCUGCAGCCCACAGCCAGGGCCAGAGUGGACUCAGCUCUCCAACCCACGGUACAAAACAGUCACGAAAGUGAAAUCAUGAGACUAUUACCGAUGUAAAUGGCAGAUUCACCUCAAGAAGGAGAUACUUAAGAAGGUCUCAGAGACAGAUUAUGCCACUUCUGGAUCUACUGAAGUCUGAGUCACACCUGAGAAACACAGAUGCAGGAGAAAUCUCCUAAUAUAUUCAGAAUUGAUGUGUAAUCCCCCAUAAAAUACAUCGUUUCCAUUGUAAAAAUCAGCAGUGAUGCAAACCCACUUCACGCGCAGCACCCACCUGCACCGUACCACACAACGCUGUGACAACACUAACACGAAGCUGAUGCUGAUUGCUCAACAGUGAGGGAUCCCUGCCCAGGAGCAGCCAGCACCGUGGAGCUGUUCAGACAUGUCACUGGUUUUCUGCUGCCCCUUUUGGCUCCAUUCCACGUGCGUCCAUACAAACCGGCUGCUGCA